UUUAACAGCUUCAACUCAUUUGAAGAACUAUCCUGGGAGAACGACAGAUAAAGUUUCCAAGAUGUCAAUGGCUGGAGGCAUCAUACCUAUAUAAUGUACUGCAGACUGCACAGGAUGGAAAUCAGAUGAUGUGCAACAGAAAUGCUCAAGCCAAAGCUCACAGGGUCAAAAUGAGAUGGAGGUUCAGCUGAUCCUGCAAGAGCAAGCCAGCUAGAACAUUUGCUUCUGAGAAAACAAGACAUCUAGCAGACUGGAGGAGAAAACAAAGACCUGUGUAGAGAUAAUCCAAAGUCCAUGCCUGUACCACCUGUGCAGUAUUGAUACAACCUUUCCUGAACAUGUUCCAAUCUUACCCGUAUCCUUUUGAAGUGGGAUGACCAGAACCGCACAUCUAUAUAAUUUGGAACAGAUCAGAUGCAGAUUGGAUGAAUGAAGUUGCUGAAGGUGAAGGCUGGAAGAUACUGUCAGAAGUUACGGAAGAAAAACCACAUAUAUCAUCCAUCUUAAGACAGCAGCAGUUUUUACGCAAGACCCCUUGUCAAGUUAAAAUGGAGGGAACAAUCGGGAAAAAAAAAACACACACAAAUAUGAAACGUUAAAUAUUGUUGAUAUCUACAAACUGGUGUAACACUGUGAUGUUCUCACUGACAAUUUUAGUUCUACUAAAAAAGUUGUGAGCACUGAGAUAUAAACAAAAAAAAAAAGUGUAAGUUACGGUAGCUGCAAAAGUAUGCUAACAGAGUCAAGGAAAGCAGGUAACUUUGUGACAUCCAUUCUCCAUGAAAACUUUUGACAUAGCAGUGAUGUUAAGCAAGGCUUGUCUUGUGAAGCUAGUUUCCACAUCAUGCUAUCUUAUGAGGACCCACUCUGGCAAAGUAGCUUUAGUGAGUGUAGUGGAGUAUCUCCCUGAGGCAGUUUGAGAAUCCUAGGAGUUCAGGGAAUAUCUCAUUUUUGCCAUCAAAAGUAUGUUUCAGGCAGGUAUAGUCUAUAUUACUAUAAAUGUCUUGGUAGAAAGUUGUUACCAAUAGUUGUAUUAUUAAACUCCAUCAUAUUGCUAAAAAAUAAUAAUAAUAAAGCUAUAAAUAAAAAUGAGGGAAGGGUGUACACAUUUACUUCUAUCCGAAAAAACAACAGCUAAUUUUGAUAGUGACUGCCUCAUGGGGAAAGGCUGUAAUGAAAUGCAUACUUGGAAAAUGAAAACCCAAAGUAUACAUUUCAGCACAAUUUCAAAUCAAUUGUUGUUACAUCAUUAUUGAAAAAAUGUGAGGUAGUUUUCUCUAUGACAGUUUUUCUUGAAACUCUACAAACAAUCCACUUUUCAUCAUACUCAAAGUGUUAGGUAAUGAGCACACGUCUAUCUGGGUAUAGUGACAUUGAUCGUAUUUCUUCUGGAACUGCAAUAAAAGUGGCUGAGAAUAUAAAACUUCUGCUGUGUGUGCCCUAAUAACUUUAUUUAUUCUUCUACCUUAUUUUGGUGCUAACCUUA